rnacentral:rRNA from 1 species
GUGUCAGCCGCCGCGGUAAUACGUAGGUGGCGAGCGUUGUCCGGAAUUACUGGGUGUAAAGGGCGUGUAGGCGGGAAAGUAAGUCAGAUGUGAAAUUCCAGGGCUCAACCCUGGCGCUGCAUCUGAAACUAUUUUUCUUGAGUGCUGGAGAGGGAAGCGGAAUUCCUAGUGUAGCGGUGAAAUGCGUAGAUAUUAGGAGGAACACCAGUGGCGAAGGCGGCUUUCUGGACAGUAACUGACGCUGAGGCGCGAAAGCGUGGGGAGCAAACAGGAUUAGAAACCCGCGUAGUCC